UCCUUGUGGACAGCCCUUUGAGUUCCCACUCUGCAAUUUAAUGAAACUCCUAUGCAAAAUUCAUCUUUUCUUCAAUUCAGUUGUUCUUUUGACAUAUUUUCACUUAAUUAAUUUUGUAAAUUUUUCUUUUUCUCCACAUUUAGUGCCACAUCAGGGGGUAUUCUAGACAGAGCUGUUGAAGCAGAGGAUAAGAAACAUGGAGAUAUUCUAAGACUGGACCAUUUCAGCUCAAGAUCUGUCCCAUUUUUCAGCAAGUUUCAGAAUAAUACUUAGGGGGGAAGUUGUGGAACAUCAAAAUAUCGCUAAUGAUCUCAAAUUUCAACAAUUUAUUGUGUAUAAACCUCAUAAUGCAGGAGCUAUUGAGGUUUGUUAUAUUGUGUUGUUUCAGUUGUCUUCAUCAUGUUUCAAUGAUUUCCAGGAUGCUAUUAGUUCAUAAUUUCUGUUGGUACUUGCAGCUCUUUGGUUUAACUUGAACUUCUUUCUCUCAUUAUUCAGGGUCAAAUUAUAAAAACUAUUUAGGGUCAGAUUGUCCUGCUGCCC